CCCGCUGCUCUGGGCCCCUCCUGCUGCUGCAGCCCUUCUGCAAAGGGGCCGUAAUGGCUCUGCUGCAGCUUCGUGAAACUUACACGCGUCUACGUGAUAGCUACUCGUUUUACAGGGCCGUCUUGUCGUUUGUGCUGGCUGAAGGACAAGAUAUUUGAUACUGCAUUUUAUGGGACAAGCAAUUCUUAAAAGGAGAAGACACAUAUAGGAAAGGAUGUCUCAUUUAAUUAAAGGAGUUAAAAAAUGUUAUGGUCCUUCUGUCAGUCAAAUGCACAAAGUAACAGGAUUUCCAUUUAAAACACCCACACUCAAAAGCUUACUACCCUAUAGUGGGCAACAAUUAAAAACUUCACGUACAUUCUCUAAACGUAGUUCUGAAAAGGCAGACUCUUAUAGUUACAUCAUAGUGGGAGCUGGAUCAGCAGGGUGUGUAUUAAGCAGCCGAUUGACUGAAGAUCCCCUUAGUACUGUUUUACUUUUGGAAGCAGGCCCUAAAGACACCUUUCUAGGUAGUAAAAGAUUAAUGUGGAAGAUUCAUAUGCCUGCUGCAUUAACCUAUAAUCUUUGUGAUGAAAAAUAUAAUUGGAAUUACCACACAACACCACAAAAGCACAUGGAUAAUCGAAUUAUGUACUGGCCCAGAGGUAGAGUGUGGGGUGGCUCCUCAUCUCUCAAUGCUAUGGUGUACAUUCGGGGGCACGCAGAAGACUACAAUCGAUGGCAUAGAGAAGGUGCUGUGGGAUGGGACUAUGAAUUUUGCUUGCCUUAUUUUAAGAAGGCACAGACUCAUGAGCUGGGUCCUAACCUGUACAGAGGUGGGACUGGACCAUUGCAUGUGUCAAGAGGAAAGACGAACCAUCCGCUUCAUCAUGCAUUCCUGGACGCAGCCCAGCAGGCUGGCUAUUCUUUCACAGAUGAUAUGAAUGGUUACCAACAAGAAGGAUUUGGCUGGAUGGAUAUGACUAUACACAAAGGUCAAAGAUGGAGCACAGCUAGUGCUUACCUUCACCCUGCCAUAACACGCCCAAACUUGUCCACAGAAGAUAGAACACUUGUAACAAAAAUUUUGUUUCAAGGGACAAAAGCCAUAGGGGUUGAGUUUGUCAAGAAUGGGCAAAGGAAAAAGGCUCUUGCCAGUGAGGAAGUGAUUUUAAGUGGAGGUGCCAUAAAUUCCCCACAGCUGCUUAUGUUGUCUGGGGUUGGAGAUGCAGAUGACCUCAAAAAAUUAGGGAUUCCUGUUGUUUGUCACCUUCCUGGGGUAGGCCAGAAUCUUCAAGAGCAUUUAGAAGUGUACAUACAGCAGAAGUGCACCAAACCUAUUACUCUCUACAAAGCACAAAAGCCUGUUAACAUGGCAAAGAUUGGUUUAGAAUGGCUUUGGAAAUUUACAGGGGAUGGAGCUACUGCCCACUUAGAAUCUGGUGGGUUUAUUAGAAGUCGGCCAGAUGUUCCUCAUCCAGACAUUCAGUUCCAUUUUCUUCCUUCUCAGGUGAUUGAUCAUGGACGUGUUGCUUCCAAGCUGGAAGCUUAUCAGGUUCAUGUUGGACCUAUGAGGAGCGCAAGCGUGGGCUGGCUAAAGCUGAAAAGUACAGAUCCAAGGGACCAUCCUGUGAUUGAACCAAACUACUUGUCAACGGAAACAGAUGUGUGGGAAUUUCGUCAGUGUGUCAAGUUAUCCAGAGAAAUUUUUGCUCAGAAAGCUUUUGAAAAAUUCCGUGGUCCUGAAAUUCAGCCAGGAAGUCAUGUACAGUCUGACAAAGAAAUAGAUGCUUUCAUAAGACAGAAGGCUGAUAGUGCUUAUCAUCCUUCUUGUACAUGUAAAAUGGGGCAGCCGUCUGAUACCACUGCUGUGGUUGAUCCUCAGACCAAAGUAAUUGGGGUUGAAAACCUGAGAGUCGUAGAUGCCUCAAUAAUGCCAAGUGUGGUCAGUGGAAAUUUGAAUGCCCCAACCAUCAUGAUAGCAGAAAAAGCUGCUGAUAUAAUCAAGGGGUUCCCAUCACUCAGUGAGAAAAAUGUUCCUGUGUAUAAACCUCAAACCUUGGAAACUCAGCGAUGAACAAAAUGCCCACGCCUAUUUUCCAGAUCAGGCUACAGCAUGCUGAAGAACCAUGCCUCCAAAGGGAAACUACCAAAUCCUUGUCUCUUUGCAGCCUUUGAAGCCACCUCCCUGGAAAGAUGCACAUAUACCAGUUAAAACUGGAUUCUGCAGAGACCAACAGACAAAGAAAAUACUUUUGGAUAAAAGCCUGGGGUUUAACCUGAAUCAAG